GAAAGCUUUCGCGGCAUGAGAUGGGGUCGCGGCCCAUUAGGUAGACGGUGAGGUAGUGGCUCACCGUGCCUGCGAUGGGUAGCCGGACUGAGAGGUCGAUCGGCCACAUUGGGACUGAGAUACGGCCCAGACUCCUACGGGAGGCAGCAGUGGGGAAUAUUGCGCAAUGGGGGAAACCCUGACGCAGCAACGCCGCGUGCGGGAUGAAGGCUUUCGGGUUGUAAACCGCUUUCAGCAGGGAAGAUAAUGACGGUACCUGCAGAAGAAGCCCCGGCUAACUACGUGCCAGCAGCCGCGGUAAUACGUAGGGGGCAAGCGUUAUCCGGAUUCAUUGGGCGUAAAGCGCGCGCAGGCGGGCCGCUAAGCGGGACCUCUAAUCUUGGGGCUCAACCUCAAGCCGGGUCCCGAACUGGCAGCCUCGAGUGCGGUAGGGGUAAGCGGAAUUCCCGGUGUAGCGGUGGAAUGCGCAGAUAUCGGGAAGAACACCGAUGGCGAAGGCAGCUUACUGGGCCGACACUGACGCUGAGGCGCGAAAGCUAGGGGAGCGAACAGGAUUAGAUACCCUGGUAGUCCUAGCCGUAAACGAUGAACACUAGGUGU
rnacentral:rRNA from 1 species